rnacentral:misc_RNA from 1 species
UUAACUAUUAUAUAGUUACUCAGACAUCACUAAAAACAGAGUUUGUUUCCUCUGGCAGGCACGCACUAGCCGAGGCCCGUGGUGUUUCCACGGCCUGCCAAAGCAACGAAGGUAUAGUAUUCAAGGGUGGGAGAUCUACCCGUGAGGGCAUGAACUCUAUAAUGAUCCUUCCGCAGGUUCACCUACGGAAA